CCUUGCUUGGCUCCCGGAGUAAGCCCCUUCCCCUCUCUGGGCCUCGGCUUUCUUGCUGAUGUGAUUGAGGUGCUGGAAGGGGUCAGGGAUUUUUCCGAAACGGUUUAGGCUCCCUUUUUUCCGCGUGAGAGCCAAAUAAAAUGGAUGAAAGGGGCAGGGGGAGCCUCAGAGUCCCACUGGUGAGCCCAGCUGCUCUGCAGCCUCCCCUCCGAGGCCCCGGAGACGCCGUGCAGACACCUGAGGCUCCAAGGAGACCCGCCUGCAAAACAGAAGCAGCAGAAACGAUGCCUGGGAAGAGAAACAUGGGACUGGAAUUCUCACUUUGCCCCUUGUUUGCUGUGUGGUCUUGGGUCAGUCCUCUGACCUCUCUGUCCCAUCUGUAUCAUCUCCGCAGUAAGGAUGGGAAGUAGAAGGUAGACCUGGGUUUCCAGGGCCUGGGCCCCCUUGCUGCCUCGCUCUGUGCCUUGGCAAGCCCCCAGCCCCCUCCUUUCACUGGUCCCCAAAUCCGAUGGCAGACUGGGAGUCCUCAUUCCCGCCUCUCCCGGGUCUGCCUCUCCAGGGGCAUGACGGCUUUACGGAGUCCCCAGAGCACAGGCUGCCCCCUCCUCCCUCCCUGCCCGAUGGAGGAGAGAAAUCUGGAAGGCCCCUGGCAGCCCCCACGGCCCAGAAAUAGCAGGCCAGCUGGUGGGCGGCUGACCUCGGGACUCGGGGCCGGAACUGAGGCUUGUUGCCUGGCAACAGGCACCGUUCACACACCGUGGGUGGCAAGGGGUUCUGGCUGUGGCCCACGUCACCAGCCCAGCCCAGCUCGGCCCCCAGGGUGCGGGACGAGGCCGGCAGCGUGUCCUCGGAGGCUCCGAAGCCAGGCUUCCCCCCUGCAGGGGUAUUUCCGUGUGGUCCUCCCCGCCCCCAGCCUUCUAGCAUCUCCUAGAAGCACCCAGGCGACCUUCAUCAGUGGGAGCAAGACCGCUUAACAGCCGGCCAACCCUGAAGGACUCUUGUGUGAGGUUCUCAAGUCACCGGCCCCUGAUUCCCAUGUGUCCUACUGACAUGUUAGUGCUGCUCUCAGAGUAGCACUGUGGGCAGCUGUACAGAUAACCCAGCCACCUCCAGCAGUAAACCGACGUUUCAAUGUAUGAGGAAGUGGUGGUUAUUAAAUUCUUUUAUUAAAUCCAGGUUUCAGAAACCAAACCCUCUUCAACGUGGCAAAAGCCACACCGAAUCACACUAAAUGGCUUUAAAUAAC
rnacentral:lncRNA from 1 species